AAUGAACGCUGGCGGCAGGCCUAACACAGGCAAGUCGAACGGAUCCUUCGGGAUUAGUGGCGGACGGGUGAGUAACGCGUGGGAACAUACCCAAAGGUACGGAAUAGCCUCGGGAAACUGGGAGUAAUACCGUAUGUGCUCGAAAGAGGAAAGAUUUAUCGCCUUUGGAUUGGCCCGCGUUGGAUUAGGUAGUUGGUGGGGUAAUGGCCUACCAAGCCGACGAUCCAUAGCUGGUUUGAGAUGAUGAUCAGCCACACUGGGACUGAGACACGGCCCAGACUCCUACGGGAGGCAGCAGUGGGGAAUCUUAGACAAUGGGGGAAACCCUGAUCUAGCCAUGCCGCGUGAUCGAUGAAGGCCUUAGGGUUGUAAAGAUCUUUCAGGUGGGAAGAUAAUGACUGUACCACCAGAAGAAGCCCCGGCUAACUCCGUGCCAGCAGCCGCCGUAA
rnacentral:rRNA from 1 species